AGAGUUUGAUCCUGGCUCAGGAUGAACGCUAGCGGCAGGCCUAAUACAUGCAAGUCGAACGCAGGGUAGCAAUACCUUGAGUGGCGCACGGGUGCGUAACGCGUAACCAACCUACCUACACCUGGGGGAUAGCCCGCCGAAAGGGGAUUAAUACCGCAUAACCCACUGAAGCGGCAUCGCUUUACUGGUAAAGAUUUAUUGGGUGUAGAUGGGGUUGCGUGCCAUUAGCUAGUUGGCGGGGUAACGGCCCACCAAGGCGACGAUGGCUAGGGGACCUGAGAGGGUGAUCCCCCACACUGGCACUGAGAUACGGGCCAGACUCCUACGGGAGGCAGCAGUAGGGAAUAUUGGGCAAUGGGCGAGAGCCUGACCCAGCCAUGCCGCGUGCCGGAUGAAGGCCUUCUGGGUUGUAAACGGCUUUUCUCAGGGAAGAAAAAGAGGAUGCGUCCUAAACUGACGGUACCUGAGGAAUAAGCACCGGCUACUCCGUGCCAGCAGCCGCGGUAAUACGGAGGGUGCAAGCGUUGUCCGGAUUUAUUGGGUUUAAAGGGUGCGUAGGUGGCCCGUUAAGUCCGGGGUGAAAGCCCACUGCUCAACAGUGGAACUGCCCUGGAUACUGACGGGCUUGAGUCCAGACGAGGUUGGCGGAAUGGAUGGUGUAGCGGUGAAAUGCAUAGAUACCAUCCAGAACCCCGAUUGCGUAGGCAGCUGACUAGGCUGGUACUGACACUGAGGCACGAAAGCGUGGGGAGCGAACAGGAUUAGAUACCCUAGUAGUCC
rnacentral:rRNA from 1 species